rnacentral:lncRNA from 1 species
AUGCAGUUUUUGCUGGAUGAGCACUUGUUGUUUUUCUUAUCGGCAGAUUUAUUAAGAGGUAAUUUAUUAAGAGGCACUCUGCACCCUGAGCCCUGCAUGCAUCCAGAGGAAAGCAGUGAUGACCACAGAGCUCAGAAACCUCAGAGCAGGGUCUGGGCUUCAUUACUCUGGAUUCCUGAGAGUGAGGUACAGAAAAAGGCCUUUCCUCAGAGCCUGGCUGCAAAAAUUCUCCUAAGCCUUGGGACAUGGAUUGGAGCUGUAUCCACCAUGGGGCUCACAGCAGUGGGCCAAGAGGAAACAUUUUUUCUAACUUGUGAGCGAAGAUGAAAUUGUUUCCUUUGCUCAUGGUCAACUCCGCCAGGAGAACUUCACUCAUUCCUGAAGAACUCUUCCCAGGAUGAGACUGAUGAGUUACACAGUGUUCAAAUAAGCGAAAAGUCAAGGUUGUUGUGCAGGUUGCUAAUGAAUUCACUGUGGUUUGGGCUAGGAGAAGACGAUGACGUGUCUGGGGAUCAUUCCAUGAAUGGCAGAAAUGAGGAAUCCUUCAUUCGUGCAAGUUUGUGCCAGCUGCUUGGAUCCUCUCUGCACAGGCUCCUCCCUGGUCAUUAUGAUAUGUGUAAUGAUGGUGCUCCUGUUUAGCCUCUCUCAUGUCUCGUAGGACUGCAUUCUUAACUUAUGCUAAUGAAGCAUCUUUCUUACCUCGACCCAUUUGUCAAAUUCAGAUGAAAUUACUGCAGAACUAAAAAGCUGGGGAAGAUAGAAUAAACAAAAAGAAGCAAAGUGAGCUCA